UACGUAGGGUGCAAGCGUUGUCCGGAAUUAUUGGGCGUAAAGGGCUCGUAGGCGGUUUGUCGCGUCGGGAGUGAAAUCCACUGGCUUAACUGGUGGCUUGCUUCGAUACGGGCAGACUGGAGGUAUGCAGGGGAGAACGGAAUUCCUGGUGUAGCGGUGAAAUGCGCAGAUAUCAGGAGGAACACCGGUGGCGAAGGCGGUUCUCUGGGCAUGUCCUGACGCUGAGGAGCGAAAGUGUGGGAGCGAACAGG
rnacentral:rRNA from 1 species